UAUUCUUUCUUGUCCUGUGGCAUCAAUUAUUCGGAACCAUGAAUAUUAUCAAUGAGAAAAGAAAAGUGAUAUCCAAGAACUUUCUUUUAGGUUUUAGUCCCAUUCAGAAAUAUGUUACAAACAUAUCUUUAAUAGAUUUUAAUAUGUUACAAAACAUAUCUUUGAUAUAGAUUUUUAAUUGCCUGGUACUACUAUUAACUACCAACGCGUUUAAUUUUAACAACUUAUCCAACACAUCAAUAAAGCAUAUCUGAUAUUUAAAAAAAAAAAAAACAGAAAGACAUCACCCACCACAAUAUUCACAUUCACAAUGUAGUAAUACCGAAGUUGCAAACUAUUAAACCUCCUGAGGUUACUAUUUUUUGUACAACAGUGAAUUUUGAUUUUCUUUCUCGUCCAACAAUGAAAUCUUUUUUUUAACAACG
rnacentral:lncRNA from 1 species